GUUUCCCUUUGCUUAUAGAAAUAAACGCAUCCUCGAGUAGCAACAACCCUUCUCCCACUUCAUCCAUGCCUUUUGUAGAAUUGUGUCAUCAAUCUUCUAAGCUUCUAAGUCAAACAGAAGGUUAGAGUGUGCUGAGUUAAUGAAAGACUCUUGGCCUGGCAAAAGGUUUUAUCAAAGCUGAUGAUAUGCACAUGAGGAGCACGUGAGUUGUUAUUGUCUCAGCUGGAUAUUUUCUGGGUUUCAAGUCAUCGUCUUCAUCGUGACGAUCGUAACAGAAACAGGGAGAGCAAGAGAGCUCGAGAUGAGAUCGAGAGAGUAAGAGCGAUUGGGUUUUUGAGAGUGAGCUAGAGAGAGAUGUGAUUCUUGGUGUAUCUAGACUCAUAGACUUGUUCUUCUUUCUCAGUCUUGUAACUCGGAUUAGGUGUAAUCGAGAGAGGAAGAAGACGAGUGAACCUCCGGUGACGUACUCUGUAAUCACAUUGAUUAUAGUGGAUUGGUUGAGAGACCGUAUCUCUCCCCGGUGAUGUAUAGCGGCUUCUCCACAUCGGAGAAGUGCGGUGAACACCGGGUAAACAAAGUCUUGUGUGUUCUUAUUUACUUCUUGCUUGAUUCUGUGAUUGAUUAGAUUCGUUUAGGCUUGUGAUGAGUAUUGAUUAAAGCCAAGAUCACAGGAUGAAUCCUCAACAAGUGGUAUCAGAGCCUCGGUUUAGGCGAUUCAAGGAUUCAUCGAAACGGAUCAAGAUCGGUUCGGAAGGAGAAUCGAAGAAGGAUCGGAGGAGUUGAAGUUUCGAUCGCAUCGUUGUUGCGAGAGUGAAGAAUCAGUAGAUGUUGCAAGAUAUGCAAUGUCAAGAGCAAAGAAAGAAGAUGAAGACGUUGGCUCGUGGUAGACGACGACGUCGGAGACGUAGCAAAGGAAUCUCACGGAGGAAGAUGUCGGUUCAGAUAGUUUCUGGUUUUGUGAAAUCAGAUGGUUCAGUAAGUUAAUCUCUCUCAUCUCAUGAGUUAUAAGAUCGUGUGAGCUGCUCGGAUAAAGAAACUUGCAAGAGAGUUUGAUGUGUUCACAAGAGUAAAAAGAACCAUAGACUGAAGUGUAAAGAAUCAGAGGUGUGAUGUUGUUCUGCAGUUCUAGAAUGGUUUGAUGCUGGCUGUUUGAGGUGGAGGAUCUCAGGUUAAAAUGUUAAGUCAAGAUCAGACUUAAGGCUACAGAAUCAAAGUCAGUUCAUAGUUUCCUCAGGUUCAAGUCUUGGAGACAAAUGGUCUCAGUCUGCAACAGUCACAAAGUUUUGUUGUGCUGGCUGGAUACUCAUCUACUGCAGUGUAUAAAGAAUGGAAGCUCUCUAAAUCACAAGGGCUGUAUGUUAUCUUUGCAAAGAAUGAUCAAGACUCAGGUUUGGUGUCAAAUUGUGUAUUGGUCAGCUUGUUUGUGGAAGGAAGAUGCAGCUGUGGUUUCACGAUGUUUUGAAGAAUGGCGGCACUUAUGAAUUUCAGGUUUAAGGGACGCUUUAAAAGUGAGUUUGUAAGUGUGUCAAAGGCUGUUCAGAUACUGUUAAAGCUUUCCGGAUUCAAGUUAAGGGAAGUUGCAGAGAAGAAUAGUACAUGAUGAUUUUGUACAGGUUUUGGAACAAGACAGAUAUGGUAUUUUGAGGAGCUGGUUAGAAAGUUUGAGUUGCAGGUUCAGUCACGGAGAUUAAAGGUCAGGUUCUAGUGAAUGUGAGAAGCUCAGGUGGUAAUGAUCAAGGUCAGGAAAAGGAUCAUAAUGGAGCUUGUAGCAGCAAGGAUUGUUUUCUACACAAAUGAAGCAAGGCUGUUACGCUUGAUGCAAUUCUUCAAUGCUAGUAAAGUGAUAAAACAGAUGGGAUUCUGUGGUAUAUCACAUGACGUUUUCUCAUAUAAAUAGGCGUCAAGGACUACUGGAAGAAUGCGUGAAGAGUCAUCGGAGUCAAGUGUGAAACAGUUUUUUAACCAAUACGUUUUGUUUUGUCGGGAGAGCAUAUGUUUGCCACAUUAAGGAGCUUAGUCAGAUUGAUGUCAUCAAGGUCUGUCUUGUAGUGCUUUGGUGAUGAGAAUCAAUCCGGUUAGGCUUAAACCGAGACUGGUUAUGUCAAUUGAGCUGUCAAGUUUGAAGAGGAUGGUCUGUCCGGUUCAGCGAGGCGGUUAGCUCAUGGUUUACGAUGGUUUAAUGUCGACUUGAUGUGAGUGAUAGACUCUGAUAUUAGUCAGAGCAUAUGUGGGUUUAUCUCCUCUCUCUCUCGUGAGAAACAUUUAGUGUGAGCAAGAGAGGGAUUAUUCAAAGUUCAUCGAAGAAGAAGAUCGGGUUUGGAGCUUUGGUGACACAAAGAACUUGGCGGGAAAAGAUGAUAGACUCUUGAUGAAAUCUGAUGGUUAAGGCAUCUCAAUGUCUAAUCAGUGGAGAGAAAUCAGUUGGAGAAAAUCUGGUUUCGGGUUGAUAUGUCACAGGUUCUGAUGGGUUAAAUUCAGAAGGGUCUCACAGGGUUUAAAGUGUUAUGUGAAGAUGUUUUGCUAGCAGAGACUAUAACAGGUUGGAGCACAGUCAGUUUGGUGGGAUUAAAAUCAGAUUGGAAAGCUUGAAAGAAGCUGCGACACUUGGUGGUUUUGGUACUAGUGGCUAAGGUUUAAUGGCUGAAAAAAAAAUGAAGAUAAUUUUGAUGAGGUCUGGAAUACAUUUCAGAAGAAGUCAUGUGUACAGUCAGUUACACAAAGCAGUUAAGUGAAUCAAAGAAGAAAGUGCAGGAUGGGAAUAAGUCUGAGAAGUGAAGCUACGUGUGAAGACGAACACAUUGUGGUUUUGAAAGUUUACUGUUUCAGGUGGAGCAGUGUUAUGUUUCAGACAGUGUUCUCAGGUCUACUUCAGUGUGAAAAGGUUUCAGAGGUCCUGCGGAUGAGCUUACAAGAGCUACAUAGAUUCAGAUGAGUAAAAGGGGUUCAGCUUGUGGUCAGAGAUGUGAAGAGGAUGUCGGCAGUGUCAGUAUGGGUUCUCCACAGGAAGCAUGAAGUAAAACGACAUCGAGGCAGAGUCACUACAGGUAUGAUAAAUGAAUAUAUAAAAUACUUGUAACGUGUGUUUUUUGCAGGUAUUCACAUGGACCAGGAAGAACAGUUCAAGGUGGAGCUGUUUGAGUCAAUAACCAAGCGGAACAAGUUCAGAGAGUUCUCUAAGAGUAGCUACCAGGAGACAAAGAGCAAGUGUUGCUGGUACUGUCACAAGAGAGCACAAGAAGGAUUGAGCUACAGAGAACUGAAGUUCUUGGUAAAGUCCGGAACAGUCGUGGGCGUUUAUAUAUCAGGGCGUGGUGGAGUUAUGCAGGUCAGAGAAUUGCAGGUUUCUACUACAGAAAGUGUCUCAGGGAUUGUCACAGGUUUUGUGAGUUUGAGGCAGGGAUAAAGCGGUCAGCAAGUGGUCAGAUUUUUUUGUCUGAAGUUCUGUUGAGGCAGAUUUGUUUGAGCUGGGUUUGAGCAGAGAUCUCUAUAUCGAAAGUCUUCUUAACCGGGUUGAGUUAGGCGGCGUGUUCUGCUGGUCACAGCAGCGGUGAAGAGUGAUGUUCAGGUUGAAAGUUCAUACAGAUUGGUGUAGAGGAAAACUUCAGGAUAAGCAGUGAGUUUUCUACUAGCUGUUGAGGUUGUCUACAAGGUUUUUUGAGUCAAAGUGCUUCUGGUGUGAGGCAGUGGUGAUUCAGUUUCUACAAGAGUUUCAAGAAAGCAUCAUUUCAGGUUUUGGGAGAUUAUUUGAAGACCUUAGUUGCAGUAACAAGUCAAGCAUCAUAGGCUGAUCUAUACUAGUCAAAGGAGAAGCUUAUAGAGUGUAUGUUGAGUUACUGGUGAGUGGUUUUCUCAAGUUUCCAGGUUAUGGAAAGUCCAAAAGGUAGAUCAAUGAAUAAGUUUGGCACAACACAAGGCUGUGAAGUGCUGGGAAAGAUACUUAAUAAGAUGUGUGUAUGUUAAUGGCGCUGGAAUAUGAUGGUAUGAUGAACAUCAUAACCGAGUUACACGUCUGGUUCAUUGAUGAUGAUCAAGUGGUUGAAGACUGGGAGUUGUCAAGGUUAGAGCUGGGUUUACAAGGUUCUAAGGAGCAGUGGAAAGGAAGUCUUCAGGUUAUAGCAAGACAGAUGCUUGGAGGAAACAAGUUUCAGGAAGCGUUUGAAGCUGAGCGGUGAAGCUCAAAGUAAGAUGAAGCUGAAUGGGUUUUAUUCAGAGAAGUAUGAAGCUGAGGAGUAUAUUUUUCUCAGGAGACUGCAGGGAGAUACAGAAGAUGAGCAAGUUUGCUCAAUCACCGGAGGAAAGCUCAAGAGAAGAUAAGACAUCAAGAAGAUCGAUGCCAAGGUGGAGAUUGUAGAAUUGUGUCAUCAAUCUUCUAAGCUUCUAAGUCAAACAGAAGGUUAGAGUGUGCUGAGUUAAUGAAAGACUCUUGGCCUGGCAAAAGGUUUUAUCAAAGCUGAUGAUAUGCACAUGAGGAGCACGUGAGUUGUUAUUGUCUCAGCUGGAUAUUUUCUGGGUUUCAAGUCAUCGUCUUCAUCGUGACGAUCGUAACAGAAACAGGGAGAGCAAGAGAGCUCGAGAUGAGAUCGAGAGAGUAAGAGCGAUUGGGUUAAUGAGAGUGAGCUAGAGAGAGAUGUGAUUCUUGGUGUAUCUAGACUCAUAGACUUGUUCUUCUUUCUCAGUCUUGUAACUCGGAUUAGGUGUAAUCGAGAGAGGAAGAAGACGAGUGAACCUCCGGUGACGUACUCUGUAAUCACAUUGAUUAUAGUGGAUUGGUUGAGAGACCGUAUCUCUCUCCGGUGAUGUAUAGCGGCUUCUCCACAUCGGAGAAGUGCGGUGAACACCGGGUAAACAAAGUCUUGUGUGUUCUUAUUUACUUCUUGCUUGAUUCUGUGAUUGAUUAGAUUCGUUUAGGCUUGUGAUGAGUAUUGAUUAAAGCCAAGAUCACAGGAUGAAUCCUCAACACCUUUCGCUUUGGCGUUUUCUGAUUUGGUGAUCGUAGUUGCAAUCAAAGUUGGAAACCACUGCUUUUUAAAAUGAGUUUAGAGAAAAUAUAUGGAGUCUAUAGUUUCAUAGAAGUUAGGGCUAAAGCUUUGAAUAAUUAAGCUUAUUGAAUCUUUAAAUUAAAAUAUUUGUACGAGUUGGAAUAUGUUAGAGUUAAAAAGAGCAUUGAAUUUUUUUUUGAAAGAAUGUUUGUUCCUUAAAGUAUACUAAUUAGAAGAGCAUUAUUGAAUAUACCAAUGAAGGGCUGGCCAAAAAGAAAUGAAUAUAAUAAGAAUAUGUAUACUUUAAAGUAGUUAAACACCGUACUUAGACAAUAGACUAGAAUAUUAUGUAAUUUACUAGAUACGUUUUAGCACAAGUCACCUAACUAAUAAUACAAACAUCUGUAAUCAGCGAAGGUAUAAACAGAGUAAAAUAAAAUCUUAAAUAUACGAACCUUGUCAUCAACGAAGGCAGAUCAGAAGCGAGCUUGAGAACGAUCAUGGGGAUGUGAAGGAAGUAUGGACGGCCCAGAUGCGUUCCAUGUCUCAUCAAUGUACUCAACAAUGUUGAGAGACUCUAGAAUCGGUUUGUUGUUGUGGAUGAGAACCGGGACUUUCUUGUGAACCGGGUUUGAUUUGAGAAGAAGCUCACUCUUCACUCUUGGAUCCGAACAGAUCUUCUUCAAAGUAAUCAUAAUCGACUGAUUUGAGACGAAGAGCGAUCUUUGCUCUUGCCACGACCGGACUGUACCAUGUUCCCAAAAGUUUCACUUCCUGUCUCUCUCCCAUAUUGUUUCUUUCUUAAUUUAUUUUUUAUUCGGUCUGAUUAAUGGGUAACGAAGACUUAUAUAUAUAUUUUUUUGUCAAACUAACGAAGACUUAUAAGAAGAAGAGAUAUUUUAGUUUUUGAGCCGAGUUUCGUGUCCUCCACGGCUCUUUUCGUCUUGGUCUUUUGUCUGCUUCUUUGUUAGAAUUUUUUUUUUCUGAAAACAGCAGAAUGAAUAUGAGGUUUUUCUAGUUUUUUUCGUUUUGUAACUCUCAUGUGUGCUGAUAUAUGGUGUUUUAUACAUCUUGUAUAUAUGCUUUUAAAUUGGUUUUCAAGUCUUUAUCGAGUCUUCCUAGUCCUUUUGAAGUCAUUACAGGUCUGGAGUUGCAUUGGAUGGGAGAUGGACCAGCUGGAACAAAAGAGACAGAAAACAAUGCAAUUUGGUGGUUUUCA
rnacentral:lncRNA from 1 species